UAAAUCUUGUAGGUUGAAGGUCUGAAAAAUUCGCACAUCAAAGCUGUUGUCAUCAGCUUCUUUUCUCGAAUUUGCAACGAAACUGGAGUUAAAUAACAGCACUAGAUUA